UAUUGGGUCCAUCCAAUCCUGAGAUAUAGAGAGGACGGAGAGUUCCCCUCCUUAUUAAGGAGCAGCGGGAUUAUCACGGGCGAUUCAAAGUUUACUUCAGGAUUUCAGUGGCUCAGUUUGAUGUAGACCACCAAUUUCUGUGAACUCAGUGUGCAAGGAUCUAUAUACAGUGCUUUGUGCUGAGAGACAAAGUGGAUGAAUUUGACAAUCGCCAUUCUGGAUUUUGGCGUUCGCUUGUAUGGUGGCUCUGAACUGUCAAAACCCCUCUCAAAAUGCUUGCUACGGAUGCGAAAACGGAAAACAAAAACAAAAAUCGAACCCGAUCCUAAUUUUUUUAUGACGGACGAAAAUUUCGGAGGCAGUGUGUAAACGUGAUUGACAUAACGUGAGGUCGUAUUUAUUUUUUAACGUGAGAAAAGUUAGAGACAGAAAUUUCGGACUCAGUGUGCAAUGACCUUUAUUGUGAACAAUUCAUCCAUAUAUACACUCUUAGAAAAAAGGUUCUUUGGGAUUCUAUAUAGAACCCUAGGGUUCUUUACGCAACUCCAAAGAACCCUUUAUGCCAAAAAGGUUCUAUAUAGAGAGAAAGAACCCUUUUCAGCACAAAAGGGUUCUUUGGGAUGAACCAUGUGUUUAUACAUUAGGCUAUUUAAAAUUAUUAUACUACAUUAUAUUUGUGUUUUUCUUUCAAUUUUACUUUGACACACCUUUAUUCUGAAGAAAAUAAACUUAAAAUUUACAUCUGCACUGAAUCAACCUAAUUUAUACCAACAAACUGAUCAGGUAUAAAUACAUGUGUACUAGCAGUGUUUAGCAAUCUGGGCAGUUUUUAUCUAUUUAUUAAAAGGUACACGCUAGUCCUCUAUUUAAUCAGCACACUGACAUGAUUGCAAGUUCUUUAGUUAUCAUGUGAUGUAAGAUGCCGUGCAGCUCUUUUAUUGACAAGCAACAUGCUCAUAUCGAGCUCAUAUCAGUGUUUCAUUUAGAUUCUAAAAGGCUAUUCUUGUAACUCAUCCCUCCAAACAGAUGCAUAAAAUGAUCUUUGGCAUAAACGGCAAACAACUUGAACGUGUAUCUAUGCGCUGAUCAGUUUUGUCCCGUCUGCACAGCGCCGCUUUUCACUCGCGUGCCUCUCGCGAGAGUGAUCACUAAAAACGCUCGAGCUUCAACGGUUCACGGUGCGCUGACUGGGCUCAGCGCUCGGGAGAACGGCGAUUACAUUGGUAAGUGAGAAAAUUGAUUCAUUUUAAUUACUUUUACAUAAACCCUGGUAAUUUUUAGUUAGCAUGAUGUUACACGUUUCUUUCAAGAAGCUAAAAGAAGAAAGGUGGUUUAUCGCAUUGUCCAGGCCUGCGCAAUUCUCCGCCCGGAGAGUGUAUUGGACCUAUAUGUAUAGGAAAAGAUGAAACAAAGUCUCGAUCAAAUCGCCGUCAGACAGCCGUUAUAAACAUGAAUUCAAACCAAGAAGAACAAAGAGAGAAGCAGCUGAUGGAGAUGUUUCCUUUUUUUCUGUUGAUAACUAUGUUCAUCUAUCUGAGAGAGCACUGUUAACGUUUUAGCUCCACCUUAUCAGAGCUGAAAAGUGGAAGUCAGAGGAAACAUGACCAACCUGCUGCAAAACAAUAACACAAAAGGUCUGGACUCUGGAGUGCAGCAUUACUUGUUUGGUCAUCUACAUUCAGAUGAAAACACCACACUUCUCUCUAAUUCAAGAUAUCAAGCCUACUCAUCGCAAAGAGAGUUAGCAUCAAAAUGGAUGUGUCAAAUAUAUGGAUGUGACCAAUAACACAGAGAUGCCAGAAAUAUCUGUUUGCAGUCUACUUUUUGUUCAGUACAGUGCAUCCAAAAGACAUCACUCAGUUAAUUUCAAACAGCACUAUUUAGCCUUUCCCAGUGCUGAAACUGUCAUGGGUCCUUUGUUUUUAUUCUUUAAAUGCUUAUCUAAAUGUAAAAUUAAUAUUUAAUGCUUAUAAAUAAAAUAAAAAAUAAUAAAAAAACAAUACUAUAGUUCCCUUUUCAGAAACAUGUGGUUCACCAUCUUUCAUGGGUUACAGAACUGGGGAAAGUUGCAGCAUACAAAAAAAACAAAAGUCAGACUACUUGGUUUAUAGGGAAAUGUGGAGUAAAUACUUGACAUUUAUUUAAGGUAAAGGGUAAUGACCUCGUGGUGAGAUGCAAAAUACCCUAAAGGGUUCUUUUGAUUGAACCCUUAAAAAGGGUUCUAUAUGGAACCUUUUAGGGGUUCCAAAUAUGUAGCGCCUGAUAGAACCUUUUCUUCUGAGAGUGUACGUUUCAUAUUUUUAAACUAAUUUGCCCCCGUAAUUUUUUAUCAAAAUGUCAUAACUGGGUUUUCCUGUGAAAACGACAGACUUCUCUCUGGUGACGAAUGCCAUACUUCUCAAAUCAUUUAGUCCACUUAAACCCUUCCCCUGUAAGCUUGCGAGCAAUGCCCACAUCUUAUAAUCCAAUCAAGAACUGACGGCUAAAACCAAGUCCCCAUUCUACAUUUUUUUCUUUUUCGAAAAUCUAUUUCACUUGGAUGUAUGUCGCAAUACAGAAGAAAAGAUCUGCUGCUACUUCAGUUUCAUUGUGACUUUAAACAAAGACAUACAAUGCCAUAAAAAGUGGACGGUGAUUGUGUAGUAUUUCUAGGUCGCUAAUCAAAGACAUGGAUCAUGUGACUCUUAGUACAGAUGGUCAGAUGUUCUUCCACUGCAGCACAAGAUGUUCUUUGGAUCAUCACAAAUCAUGCUGAAGAACAUGAUCAUCAUUAGGAUAGACUAACUUGUGUUCAUGCAGCUCGAGUGCUGCUGUCAUUAAAGCAAAAGAGGGUGGAACCAAAAGCUACAACAUCUUUCGUCUAAAUUUUUUAAAUACAACUUUUCACUCAAAUUGUUAUACUGAUAAUAUAUGAAUGAAACAUUUUGUAUUUAAUUUGAAAAAUGCAAAACAGAAGCAUUUUCAAUAGCAAUCUCAAACAUUUGGAUUACAAUUUUAGUCAAAAUAGUAGUCAGGUGUGACAUGGCUGAUACUGACAACAUCGGGAGAUCUGCAUAAGUUGUUCUCCUCGAACAAAAAUCAUGGGAGCUUUACCAAUGUAAGCCUGUGAGUGAGUCUAAUGAUGACUCUGAGACAGAGCUUUCUUUUGUCCUUUUUAAUAGUCCUCCAAUGAAGACGGGAAAUGAGGCUUGACUUUACAUACACAUAAGAUGCAUGUGAGGAUUUCAGAGUCACAUUUCAGAAUGAUCAAAUCUUUUCUUCUCACAGCAGCAAAAGCCGCUUCAACAUAAUAAAAGUUAAACUGGAAUGUAUGACUGAAUGUUCAGGGAAAGAAAGAGAAAAUGGAUCCGACAAGGUACUGUGAUGCUGUUGUAAUUAGAUUUAACCUUCUGGCAGGAAUUCAGCUACAAUGAAAGUUGUUUUUUUAUAUGGAGUUAAUAUUGCAGUCACUUUGCGGCUCGAUAUUUAUUUAUACAGUUGAUAUUUGCAGCACCUGGAGAGGAAACUGUGAAAAGGAAGCUUUAUUUCCUUUGCAAGACACUUCAGAAAUGUAAGUAUGUAAACUAGAGUAGAAAAACAAAACUUUUAAGAAAUCUGUUUUUUUAUUGGUGCGAUUUUGCACCCGAAGUACCUUCUCUUCAAAAUGGCAGACUUCCUAACUGAAACUAAACACUAGAUAUGCAAUGUUUAAUGGAGAUUUUUUGCAAGAUUGCAUGUGGUUUCAUUCAAGUUCUCAAAGGGGACCACCGGACGUUUGCAAGGAUGUUUGAGGACACCCGUCAAACAUUUACCCGCCCCACAACUGAUCCACUUCUAUGAUCUUUUGGGUCUAUAUAAAAUCUGACAAUGUCUUAAAUGGAGUCUGAUUUGCAAACACAUCCAACAAAACAAGAUAGCAAUUCCCAAACCCGGUGAUACAGCCUGACGGAACAAGCCAAGGCGCCCAUCUUUUAUGCAUAUGCAUUCAGGUGUAAAAGCAAAAGUCAUGAAAUUCAACUCAAAUUUGAUCACUCACAGUGGUCUGUUCCAUUGUUUGUCUGCUCUGACAGGAGGUGACAAUGACAGCUCCGAGUGUUAGCAUGCGCUGAGAUGCU